AUGCUGUGCAACACGAGUUACCGGAUUGUCUGAGUGGAUGGGGGAAUGCGCGAGUGGGUGUUGAAACCGACGGGAAUUUAUCGAGACUGGCUGCUAUCAUGAAAAAGGAGGACUUUGUGCUGAUGAUGAGCUUCAACAUGAUGUGAGGUGGGACUCUGGAGUGGACGCCCCCCAAUGCAGGCUGGGUAGCGAUGGACCACACUCGAGGCUCCGACUGGCAGGGCCACUACAACAGCUGGAUGAGGCGCUUGAAACAACCAAUGCCUCUACCCCCCCGAAAGAAAAGCCCCUUGCCUGAGGAACGGGUGUACCGACAUGACAGUUCCCUAUGCAGUGUGCUGCAGGAGCGGGGCAGAAGCAAGACUUUGGUAGAUUGAAACUGAGGUCCUACACCCCCCAAUGACCUCCCAGCCCAGGAGGUUUUAGUCCCAAGCAACACCACCUCCCUUAGAAAGAGGUUUCGAAGUACAUUCACGAACAGUAUAUAUCCAGUAGACAACCUGAAAUUCUUGCUCUUCACUGACAUCCUGUGGCAUCACUCUGGGGGGAGGGGGGAGGUGGAGGGCAGAACGAGAACAGUCAUCAUGGUGCUGCUUGUCAUGUGUCCAUUGCUGGCUAGAUUAACGCACCACAACGGUUUCCCAUGACCGGAUCCUUGCAUCCGUUUGUGCAGAGUGCUGGCCUUGAGUCUUCGUAUGCUCCCCCUGCUGUCAAACAUUGUCCUCGGUGGGAGAGAAAGUUGCUGUCCAUCGUCUGGGCUCCCUCACUCUUCCGUCAGCCCAAAACUGGGACAAGGCAGACCACUCCCCCCCCCCCCCACCCAACUCCGCUGCGUAAUCCCCAUCACUGUUUACCAAGGUUGCCGAGUCCCAGGAAAGCCCAGACUGGCGCGCCUUGUUUUUAUGCUGGUGUUGAGGCGUUGCCAUGGUAGCAGCUUGGUCUGCUGAGUCACAACCCACAGCUUCCAACACGGGAGGCCCCAGACAGUCAGACACACUUUAAUCAGAUCUCAAAUUGGGAUCAAUUCCUGUCUGGGUCAACGAACUCCCUGCUCAGCCCUGCCCUCUGCAUCUCAGAGACCUUCCAGUGAGGGAGAGUCAGUUCCACUGCAGUCCAGUGUACAGUGCAGGUCCUGAGCCUUUCCGAGGGCCGUUGCAGAAGAUUGUACUGCUGCUGGAAAUCUUGGGCAAGGCACUCAAAAUGCUGCAGGAACUCAGCCGGACAGGGGCAUUUAUGGCAGGGAAUAAACAGCCGGGACCCUCUUAAAGGUCGACUGUUGAUUCCCCUCCAUAGAUGCUGCCUGACCUGCUGAGUUCGUCCAGCAUUAUGUGUGCCUUGUUCCAUCAGAGUACUUUCUCCCUGACAACACCGCCCCCCCAUUGCCAAUCUUUAGCUGAUUAAGUAAAAACAUAAAUUAAUCCCCUUUUUAAAAAGGAAGUUCCUGUGGUUUCUCACGCCAUUCUCUCUGGGCACUGACCCUCUCCCAGGGAGAAAGGUGCACGACGUUUGUUUGAGUGGAGUCCCAGUCUACACAAUCUCUCCUGGUAACUUGGGGCCCCUGGGUCCUGGCAAAUCUUUUCUGUAUUCUUUCCGGUUUGAAAACGUAUCUAUGGUAACAUCAUCAAGAUUAUGUGCUGUGUUGUAUGACAAGGGUGAUCAUGGUCUAUCCAUGACCGUGGUUGUUUUUGCAAAUAUUUCUACUGAAGUGGUUUGCCAUUCAUCUGGGCAGUGUCUGUACCAGACGGGUGACCCCAGCCAUUAUCAAUGCUCUUCAGAGAUUGCCUGGUGUCAGAGGUUGCAUAACUGGACUUGUGACCAACCAUGUCCUGCUCCCAUGGCUUCACAUGACCCUGAUUGGGGGGUCUAAGCAGGUGCUACACCUCGCCCAAGGGUGACCUGCAGGCUAGUGGAGGGAAGGAGUGCCUUACACUGCCAUUGGUAGAGACGUAUCUCUGCCCUGCCACCCAUUUACUAUAACAGGGUGACCAAAAUUAUCCAUGAUCGUCGGGCUGUUCCCUGUUUGAACUUGAACCAUCCUCUUCCUGUCCCAAUCUGUCUGUCACUGAUUAUGUUACAACUGACGAUCACCAGCUUUGACCUCUCAGUAUUAUCAUACUUGUUCAUUCCAUUUUAUAGGAAUUGCUGGAGGAACUGGGCAGGUCAGGCAGCAUCUAUGGAAAUGAAUAAACAGUUGAUGUGUCAGGCUGGGACCCUCCUUGAAGACCUGAUGGAAGGUCCUCCAGCAUUUUGUCCAUGUGUUGCUUUGGAUUCCCAGCAUCAGCAGAUUUUUAUUCUGUUUGUGAUUCAAUUUUAUAACUUGGCUAGGACUGUGAACUGUGUAUAAUAUUUGUUUUUUUUUUAAGUUGAAGAGUUGGUUGUUAUGUAAUGCUUUUUUUUAAGGAAAUAAAACAUUGUGAGGAAUA